AGCAGCCGCGGUAAUUCCAGCUCCAAUAGCGUAUAUUAAAGUUGUUGCAGUUAAAAAGCUCGUAGUUGAACUUCGGAAUUUGCCCAUUGGUCAGGCUUAACUGUCUGAACUGGUGUGACGAGUUCCUACCUUCUGAGGAAUCUUCAUGCCAUUCAGUUGGUGUGGGGGGAAAUCAGGACUGUUACUUUGAAAAAAUUAGAGUGUUUAAAGCAGGCAUCCGUCUGAAUACAUUAGCAUGGAAUAAUAAAAUAGGACGGUUUGGUUCUAUUUUGUUGGUUUCUAGGAUCACCGUAAUGAUUAAUAGGGAUAGUUGGGGGCAUUAGUAUUCAAUUGUCAGAGGUGAAAUUCUUGGAUUUAUUGAAGACUAACUACUGCGAAAGCAUUUGCCAAGGAUGUUUUCAUUAAUCAAGAACGAAAGUUAGGGGAUCGAAG
rnacentral:rRNA from 1 species